CCUACGGGAGGCAGCAGUGGGGAAUAUUGCACAAUGGGGGAAACCCUGAUGCAGCGACGCCGCGUGAGUGAAGAAGUAUUUCGGUACGUAAAGCUCUAUCAGCAGGGAAGAAAAUGACGGUACCUGACUAAGAAGCCCCGGCUAACUACGUGCCAGCAGCCGCGGUAAUACGUAGGGGGCAAGCGUUAUCCGGAUUUACUGGGUGUAAAGGGAGCGUAGACGGCAGCGCAAGUCUGGAGUGAAAUCCCAUGGCUUAACCAUGGAACUGCUUUGGAAACUGUGCAGCUAGAGUGCAGGAGAGGUAAGCGGAAUUCCUAGUGUAGCGGUGAAAUGCGUAGAUAUUAGGAGGGACACCAGUGGCGAAGGCGGCUUACUGGACUGUAACUGACGUUGAGGCUCGAAAGCGUGGGGAGCAAACAGGAUUAGAUACCCCGGUAGUC
rnacentral:rRNA from 1 species